CAUCCUAAUUCAAAAUCUUUCUUCAAAACGACUAGUCAAUAAAUAUUAUUUAAAUUUUUUGAUCAUACAUAAAUAUUUAAUAUUUAUUAAAUUCAUAAUUGAUGUGAAACUAAACACACAUUUGUAUGAACCUCACAGCUCUGUUUGAUUGCAUAGAGAUUCUUGUGGACAGCUAGUGAAACUUUUGCUUUCCCAAGAAGAAAAAGAAUAUGCUGACUAAGAUGG
rnacentral:lncRNA from 1 species